AUGAAAAAACGCUCUCAUUCGUGUCGUAUUCAAAGGUCGAUGUAUAUUUCUCUUCGAAUUCAUCAAAUAUCAGCAUGGAGAGUGAACCUACGGCCGGAGUCAUCUCUGUGAUGGCACAGUCACUGUGGUGAAGUCUCAUGGAGCGAUGUGUAGGAUAGUGCUACUGUUAUUCCUCGUGUACAAAUUUUCAAGAGGAAUGGAACAACCUCAGGCUCCGCAAGGGCCGGAGCAGCAGUUCAAUCAGCUUCUCCAGAAUCAAGGAUUGGGCUACCUUGUGGCCGCAAACGCGAAUCAACUAGAAGCGAGAAACUGCAUCAAAGAGUGUCAUGAGUCGUUCGGAUUCGUACUUGGGCGUCAAAGAAACGUUUGGAUUCCCGUUGCAACAGGAAUCGUGAUCGAAGAUCUGUUUUUCGCGAACGAAUGCGAAUGCGAGCUGACCGCCAAUUUCAAGAGCCUCCUGGAAAGUCCAAAAAAUGUAUUUUACUUAUCUUUUCAAAACCUCUGCGUGGACCUUCAAAAGAGUUGUGAAGCUGAGUUUCGAAUGGAGACCGUUCGAAGGUGGGCUUUUGUUCUGUCUCACGCGCUCAGCACCCCGUCGCGGCCAGUCGCAAAUUGGUGGUUGACAGCGAAAACUAGCCUCAUCUCGUUUUUUAUUUUGGAAUUUCUAUCCAAGUAUUGCGUUUAAAACUAUGUACUUACAUAUCUCAAAGCCUAAAUUAAGAGGAAGAAAAAAGAACUAAACGUUUUUUUACCAUCAUCGCAUCAUCUAUUAAGGAGAAUCCUUUUUGCAUGGGAGGCAACGUUUACAAUAGAUCCUAUUUGAUAGUGGUUCGCUGUAUCGAUUGGCUCAUAACAAUCGAACACAAUCUCAAACAAAAAUUGUAGGAUUUAAGUUGGAAAAGCUGGAAAGGAGAAUAUUCAUAGUAAUUUUUCUCUUCAUAGCCAUUUUGUGCUCCUAUAUAGGAAUCAAAAAUCUAUCACAAAAAAACCGCUCCCGCAGAUUACUCAAUUGACUUCUAGGGCUAUGUUUACAUGUUGAAGCAAUCGAUAUCGAUACAAUCUCACCUCUUUGCUGCAUCGAUUAUGAUCCAUGGCCAGUUAAGACCUCCUAGACAUAAAUUAUCUUGGUGCAUUUUUUGCGAUUAGGAGAAAAUCGAGAUCAGGGAUAAACUGUUGUAUAUUUGUUCAAGAUAUGAUAUCUUACUUCUUGAAAAAUAAAAAAGCUUUACUUAAACAACUUGUAGCGGAUACACUUUUAGUAUAACUUGAUGUGAUCUAUGAAAAAGGAGUUGGAUUGGUUACAGAAGAAAUUCGUGAAGUUUAAUUCAUUCGGAAGUCAUCAGAAGUAGAGUAUGAAAUACAUUCCUCCAACUACGUGUUACUAAUGAAUAGCAUCAAAAAACCUCUCCUAUGUAAAAGGUCAAUGCGUCAAUAGUUGAGACGAAUAAUUAUCACUAAAGAACGUAUGGGCAUAUGUCUAGAGUCUAUUGCGUCAAAAGUUAAAACGAGUACCGCUAAAAAUAGUGAAUGGUAUAGAGAGUGUAUAGAGUCGGCUGCGAUGAAUAAGAGAGGAAAAUUUGCAUAACGUAUAUCGAAAGUACCGCACGCUUCCCUUUUUUUGAGUGAACGGUAAAUCUAAUUACAUGCGGUUGGCCCAUGCAGGGCUCUUGAUUGAAUCCUCGAGUUUAAAAGGGGUUUUGCGUUCCCGGCUUCCACAACCUAAAUUAAAAAACGAGCUAGAAAAACGCCAAAAUUCCGCUUUACACGAUAUUUUAUAAUAUCAUAAAUUUUAUCAAAGAUUAUCAAAGAUAAUCAAAGAUUUUCAAGUUUGGAACCUGCACAUAAGAACUUAUUGCAAACCUACUAGGAUUCAAUCCAGAGCCCCGUGAAAACCGCAUGUCGAUAGCUUUUACUGUUUGCUGAAUAACAGGAAACAUGCAGUCAGCAGUACUUUCGGGACACCCUCUGUAGUCUGUAUAAUUUCAAGGGCAACGCAUAGUUUGAAAAACUGGUGAAAUUUUCAGAUGUACCUAGAGACAAUACUUAUCACAGCAACGGAAGCAUCAGAGGAAUCGCACGCAAGCAAAAAAAACAAGCAGUAACUCCAGCGCACUGCCGCUGGAGAGCGGCUCCGGGAAUGGUAGUUUCAUGUAAGAUAGAAAGAUUCUUAAUUUCGUCUUCA
rnacentral:lncRNA from 1 species